rnacentral:rRNA from 1 species
ACGAACGCUGGCGGCGUGCCUAAGACAUGCAAGUCGUGCGGACACCUUCGGGUGUUAGCGGCGGACGGGUGAGUAACACGUGGAUAACCUGCCUGAUGCUCCGGAAUAACAGACCGAAAGGUCUGCUAAUGCCGGGGUAAGCUCACGAAGCCGCAUGGCUUUGGGAGAAAAGGCGCUGUAAGGCGCUGGCAACAGAGGGGUCCGCGGCCCAUUAGCUAGUUGGCGGGGUAACGGCCCACCAAGGCGACGAUGGGUAGCCGGCCUGAGAGGGCGAACGGCCACACUGGGACUGAGACACGGCCCAGACUCCUACGGGAGGGCAGCAGUCGGGAAUUUUGCACAAUGGCCGAAAGGGCUGAUGCAGCAACGCCGCGUGAGUGAUGAAGGCCUUCGGGUUGUAAAGCUCUGUUGCCGUGACGAAAGGCUCGCUCAGGAAAUGGGGCGAGUUGACGGUAGCGGAGAGGAAGCCCCGGCUAACUACGUGCCAGCAGCCGCGGUAAUACGUAGGGGGCAAGCGUUGUCCGGAUUUAUUGGGCGUAAAGGGCGUGUAGGCGGCGCUGGUAAGUCGGGGGUGAAAACUCAGGGCUCAACCCUGAGACUGCCUUCGAUACUGCUGGGCUUGAGUGCUCUAGAGGGUAGUGGAAUUGCCGGUGUAGUCGGUGAAUGCGUAGAGAUCGGCAGGAACACCAGUGGCGAAGGCGACUGCCUGGGGAGUAACUGACGCUGAGGCGCGAAGCUGGGGAGCAAACGGGAUUAGAUACCCCGGUAGUCCCAGCCGUAAACGAUGAGUGCUAGGUGUGAGGGGUAUCGACCCCCCUCGUGCCGCAACAAACGCAAUAAGCACUCCGCCUGGGGAGUACGCGCCGCGAAGGUUGAAACUCAAAGGAAUUGACGGGGGCCCGCACAAGCAGCGGAGCAUGUGGUUUAAUUCGAAGCAACGCUGUAGAACCUUACCAGGGCUUGACAUGCUAGGAAUCCUGCAGAGAUGUGGGAGUGCCCUUCGGGGGAACCUAGACACAGGUGGUGCAUGGUUGUCGUCAGCUCGUGUCGUGAGAUGUUGGGUUUAAGUCCCGCAACGAGCGCAACCCCUAUCGUAUGUUGCCAGCACUUCGGGUGGGCACUCAUGCGAGACUGCCGGUGACAAACCGGAGGAAGGUGGGGAUGACGUCAAAUCAUCAUGCCCCUUAUGUCCUGGGCGACGACACGUGCUACAAUGGCCGCCACAGAGUGAACCAAACCCGUGAGGGGGAGGAAACCACCAAAGGCGGUCCCAGUUCAGAUCGUGGGCUGCAACUCGCCUACGUGAAGUUGGAGUUGCUAGUAAUCGCGGAUCAGAACGCCGCGGUGAAUGCGUUCCCGGGCCUUGUACACACCGCCCGUCACACCAUGGGAGCUGAUAACACCCGAAGUCGGUGCGCCAACCGUAAGGAGGCAGCCGCCGAAGGUGGGGUCGGUGACUGGGGUG